CAUCGAGUUCUCCUCCCCCAUUUUUUCUUCUCUUCUGUCCCUGAGCCAAGACCUCCAAAUCAAACCCAAAUUUUCAUAAAUUAAAACCCAUUUCUCCUAAACUCUAAUCUCUUGAAUCAGAACUACUUCGGAAAUCAACCCAAUAUUUCAAUAAACUAACCCUAGAAAUCGAUUUUUUUUUGGUAAAGUUGAAUGAUUCGGUAAGGUGUGCUUGGAUCCAACCUGGAGUUUUUUUUAUCCAGUGAUGAACUAAUGAAUACAUUAUGGAGAUGGAGAUAGUUUAUUGUGUGUUAUUGAUAACUUUGAGUUGACUACCUCAACUGGAUAAGAUCCCUGAGUAACACAAGACCCUAAUGCUAUCGGUAUCCGACAGAAGACGCUAGAUCCUAUAGGCGUACCUCAUACCCAUGUGUUUGUAGUUCUAGUCCACUGUAGGUUGCAAAUAAAGGAGUAAGUAUAUUUAACUACAAGUUCUUUGUUCAAGUUUUAUAUCUAUUGAAUUUUGUGUCGCUGAUUUUGAUUUGUUUUCCUGUGUAACAGUACAAAUAUACUAAAAGAAGUUAUACCACCUCCCUGCAACAACCAUUGUCUAUGAAUUGUGUGUUUAUGUUGUCUAUGUUGGUUCGAGGUAACAAAUUCUAAAGGUGAUUUGUGUGUUUUGAUGCAGGGUUUGUGGAUUAUAAUUUUAGUUCCUAAGGGAUUGAAAGGUUGGGUAGUCUCACUUUAGAUGUUGUAUGAUUUUUGUUUCUCUUGUAUCCAUUCCACGCAGAGAGAGGUGUAAAAGACUGCAGCGGUGGAAUGUGAAAGACUACAGCGGUGGGUUGAUGCUCUCAAGGCGUUGGGAUUUCUGGUUCUUUAAAUUUCUGUUUUACCCGUGCAUCUACUUUUGGUACUGGGAAUUGACUUUGUAAUUGCUUCCUUUCGUUGGUCGUGAGCUGUUUGUAGCUGGUUUUGUGAGAUUCAGUGCUCAACUAACAAUCAUAUGUCUGCUGAUCUAAAAUUGCCUUUAAUGGAAAAGCAAGUAAGAAAGAAAAUCGAAUGAAGAGUUUGUGAUACAUCAGUAGUCAUGGAGGUUGUUCCUUGUAAAUGAAUACUUCUAGUAAAUCUUUCUAAUAAGGCUUGUGCUCCGAAUCUCUGUACUUGGUUCAUGUAUUUCAUUCAUAUUACAGGAUGUUCGUUACUAAUUUAUUAUGUUUCCCCAUAUGCUGACUUUUAAUCAAUUUAUUUGUGGUAUUUUCUGUAGUUUGGUUCACUGGAUUUAUAGUUUGUGCCGCUUACGAUAGUUUUUGUCCCGUGGCUCCUCUCGUAGAGUACGAGACAUGUAUAGAGAAUGGUCUGAAUUUGAGUUGGGAGAUGGAGUCGGUAUUUUUUGUUAGUGUGUACUGAGUCAUCACAAUCAAAAUCUUACUGGGCUCUCUUUGGUCCUCUUACAGGGUGGAGAUCUUAUGAGAUACUGUCAUAAAUACUCCUGCUACAAACCCCUCCUCGAUCACCUCAUUAUCGUUUUUGCAAGAGAUGUGUUUUACGAGUGGUAAGGAUACCCAGGGUUGUUUUCCUUGGUUGGAACUUCACAACCAUUUCGUUAAAUUUCUAAGUUACAAUAUUUGUAAUGCAGGAUCACUAUUGUGUCUAGAUUCAUUUGUCAUUGCAAAUGAGGAGUAGUGAUUUUUACCGGUCUAUUUUUGGCACUGUUAAUUAUCUGUUGGAUAUUAGAUUUUAUGGGUUAACUGUUAUGUGUGGUUUACUUCUGAUCACUCACAAUUAUAUUUUAUUUUUUAUUUACUUGUAAAUUCAGAGCGAAUCAUUAUCCAUAGUGGAUUCAUGUCAAUAGCCCUAUAUUUGAAUCAGAACAUGGUGCUGGUGAACAUCACCUUCACCAUUUUCAGCAACAAUAGUCUUAUCACUUUCACCUUCACUGAUAUAAUAGUCUUAUCGCUUUCUCUAUUAAGGUUUCACUUACCCGGUAUUUGUGAAGUCAAAGACACCAAAUGAAUGGUAAUGUGUACGGGUGGAUAAAUUUAGAAGCAUCCCCUAGGAGAAUAUCAAGUAUGCAGAUCUAGUAAUUGCAGGAUCAUUCAUCAUUGAAGGUGCUUUUAUAGUAGUUCUUGUCCAUGCAGUCAGGAAAGAUGCAACAGCCGAAGGAACGAAAAUGAGGGAUUAUGUAUGGAGUGGUCAUGAUCCAACAGUGGUUGCUGUUAUGACAGAGUUAACUUAGCUAUAAACUACGAGACAUACAUAUCCCAUGUUGAAAAUUGAUUUUUAUUUUACUUCCUAGUCCAUAUGCUGAAACAUUAAAUCUGCAAGAAAAUGGGGAGUGUAUGUAUUGUGUGGAUCUAAAUAUAAUCAGUAUGUCUUAUGCAUUGGAAGUUAGACACCA